rnacentral:rRNA from 1 species
UACGGGGGGGGCAAGCGUUGUUCGGAAUUACUGGGCGUAAAGGGCUCGUAGGCGGCCAACUAAGUCGGACGUGAAAUCCCUCGGCUCAACCGGGGAACUGCGUCCGAUACUGGAUGGCUUGAAUCCGGGAGAGGGAUGCGGAAUUCCAGGUGUAGAGGUGAAAUUCGUAGAUAUUCGCAAGAACACCAGUGGCGAAGGCGGCUCACUGGCCCGAUACUGACGCUGAGGCACGAAAGCGUGGGGAGCAAACAGG